rnacentral:rRNA from 1 species
UUAACACAUGCAAGUCGAACGGUGAACACGGAGCUUGCUCUGUGGGAUCAGUGGCGAACGGGUGAGUAACACGUGAGCAACCUGCCCCUGACUCUGGGAUAAGCGCUGGAAACGGCGUCUAAUACUGGAUAUGUGACGUGACCGCAUGGUCUGCGUUUGGAAAGAUUUUUCGGUUGGGGAGGGGCUCGCGGCCUAUCAGCUUGUUGGUGAGGUAAUGGCUCACCAAGGCGUCGACGGGUAGCCGGCCUGAGAGGGUGACCGGCCACACUGGGACUGAGACACGGCCCAGACUCCUACGGGAGGCAGCAGUGGGGAAUAUUGCACAAUGGGCGAAAGCCUGAUGCAGCAACGCCGCGUGAGGGAUGACGGCCUUCGGGUUGUAAACCUCUUUUAGCAGGGAAGAAGCGAAAGUGACGGUACCUGCAGAAAAAGCGCCGGCUAACUACGUGCCAGCAGCCGCGGUAAUACGUAGGGCGCAAGCGUUAUCCGGAAUUAUUGGGCGUAAAGAGCUCGUAGGCGGUUUGUCGCGUCUGCUGUGAAAUCCCGAGGCUCAACCUCGGGCCUGCAGUGGGUACGGGCAGACUAGAGUGCGGUAGGGGAGAUUGGAAUUCCUGGUGUAGCGGUGGAAUGCGCAGAUAUCAGGAGGAACACCGAUGGCGAAGGCAGAUCUCUGGGCCGUAACUGACGCUGAGGAGCGAAAGGGUGGGGAGCAAACAGGCUUAGAUACCCUGGUAGUCCACCCCGUAAACGUUGGGAACUAGUUGUGGGGUCCAUUCCACGGAUUCCGUGACGC